rnacentral:rRNA from 1 species
CACGUAGGGCGCGAGCGUUGUCCGGAAUUAUUGGGCGUAAAGAGCUCGUAGGCGGCCUGUUGCGUCCGCUGUGAAAGCCCGGGGCUUAACCCCGGGUCUGCAGUGGAUACGGGCAGGCUAGAGGUAGGUAGGGGAAAAUGGAAUUCCCGGUGUAGCGGUGAAAUGCGCAGAUAUCGGGAGGAACACCGGUGGCGAAGGCGGUUCUCUGGGCCUUACCUGACGCUGAGGAGCGAAAGCGUGGGGAGCGAACAGG